rnacentral:rRNA from 1 species
GACGAACGCUGGCGGCGUGCUUAACACAUGCAAGUCGAACGAUGAAGCUGGAGCUUGCUCCGGUGGAUUAGUGGCGAACGGGUGAGUAACACGUGAGCAAUCUGUCCUUGACUCUGGGAUAACUGCGGGAAACCGUAGCUAAUACCGGAUACUUUCACUGGAAGGCAUCUUCUGGUGAAGAAAGAAUUUCGGUCAAGGAUGAGCUCGCGGCCUAUCAGCUUGUUGGUGAGGUAACGGCUCACCAAGGCGACGACGGGUAGCCGGCCUGAGAGGGUGACCGGCCCCACGGGGACUGAGACACGGCCCAGACUCCUACGGGAGGCAGCAGUGGGGAAUAUUGCACAAUGGGCGCAAGCCUGAUGCAGCAACGCCGCGUGAGGGAUGAAGGCCUUCGGGUUGUAAACCUCUUUUAGCAGGGAAGAAGCGAAAGUGACGGUACCUGCAGAAAAAGCACCGGCUAACUACGUGCCAGCAGCCGCCGUAA